UAGGACUUAUUAUUCAUGGCACAACAAGCUUCAUGUUUGUUUUUUUUGUUUUUUGUUUUGUUUUGUUUUUCCCAUUGAGCCCCAUGUUUCACGGGGCAAUGUGGAGGGACUUAUGUGGAUGCUGUACACACAGUGAGUGUUGGAGAACUUCCAUCUCUGAAAACAUACAUCUUUUCUGAUAGGCUUUAAGCCUGCUUGUUCUAUGCCCUGGAAGGAGAUAUCAUGUCUUUAUUAUACUGGAAAAUAAAUAUAUUUAGUGGGUGUUCCAGAUGUAGGCACUACAAACAUCCCUGAAAAGAUGGUUAAUAACAAAGGCCAUCAGUGCCUUUUCUAGAUAGACAUGCAGACAUUGAGAGAUGUAAGGAAACUUGUCUCCCAAGAGAUCCUUAUUGCCCCGGCUCUUCAAUACUUCUUGCCUGAAGGCAAAGCACCAAGGAUUCUCUCCAAGAAUGUGUCAUAAUUUGUUUAAGCCAAUCAACAGAUCAUAUUUCCUGGUCAUUGAGAAACAGUGAGAUCUUGGUUGGAGAUGUCAGGAGACACACCCACAUUCCACAGAUUUAUUCCUGACCCUCAGCUCCAACAGCAUUAAAAAAAGAAAAAAAUAACAUACAUUUUCUAUUGUGCUUUGAUAAUUAUUUCAUUCUGCUCUGCUAUCUGGAGUAAAUAUUAGGCCACAGGGGUCUCACUCGGCCACAUUGGCUGAAGUGCCGUGGCAAAUCUCGGCUCACUACAACAACCAUCUCCUGGGUUCAAGCAAUUCUGUCAUCUCAGCCUCCCAAGUAGCUGGGAUUACAAGCACCUGCCAUCAUGCCUGGCUAAUUUUUGUAUUUUAGUAGAGACUGGGUUUCACCAUGUUGGCCAGGCUGGUCUUGAACUCCUGACCUCAGGUGAUCCACCCACCUUGGCCUCACAAAAUGCUAGAAUUAUAAGCGUGAUACACCACGCCUGGCUGGAUGAAGUAUCUUUAUACAGUCUUGCAUCACUUAAUGACAGGAUGGGGAUAUAUUCUGAGAAAUGUGUUAUCAGGCAAUUUCAUCUUUAUCCUGUCAUCGUAGAGUGUACUUAUGUGCAUAAAACUAGGUGGUAUACUGUAUUUAUCUGUUUUCCACACUGCUAUAAAGAAAUACCUGAGACUGGGUAAUUUAUAAAGAGAAGAGGUUUAAUUGACUCACAGUUCUCCAUGGCUGGGGAGGCCUCAGGAAACUUACAAUCAUGGCAGAAGGGGAGGCAGGUGCAUCUUACAUAGAAGAAGGAGAGAGAGAAGUGAGAGUGCAGGAAAACACUGCCUCUUUUAAAACCAUCAGAUCCCAUGAGAAUUCACUCACCAUCAGUAGAACAGUGUGGUGAAAAUGGCCCAUAAUUCAAUCAUCACUUCCCACUCUAUACAUGUGAGGAUUACAGGCCCCUCCUUCAACAUGUGGGGAUUAUAAUUAAAUGAGAUUUGGGUGGGAACACAGAGCCAAACCACAUAAUAAACCCUACUACAGGUCUAGGCUAUAUGGUGUAGCCUACUACUCCUAGACUACAAACCUGUACAGUAUGUUACUUUACUGAAUACUGUUGGCAGUUGUAAUAUAAUGGUGUUUGUGUAUCUAAGCAUACUUAAACAUAGAAAAGGUACAGUAAAAAUAAGGUAUAAAAGAUAGAAAAUGACAUAUUGGGCAGUGAUAAAGUUUUUUAAAUUGUGAUUAGAGGUUUCACAAAUAAAAAUUAGUCAAGAAUAAGUACAAAAUACAAAUGUUAAAACUUAUCAACAAUUCAUUUUAUUGUUUCUGAAGUAAUACUGUGGUGAUACAAUGAAAUAAUAUAUGAAUGUCAAGUCUUCAGAACAGUGACUGUCCAAUUAAAGCUACCCGUCAAUGUUAGAUAGUGCUGUUAGGAACAGGACUUAGAACUGGAAUCGGAGUGGGAGGAGAAUGAAAAAAUAAAUAUAUAGAUAUUGUCAUAUUUAAAUAAGUAAUAUUCAAAAUUAUGGCACUUAGUGAAGAGACAUGCAAGUUCUAUACUUUUUAGAAAAGUGAAAAUUUGCUUAACCUUUCUAGAAAUUAAUUUGAUCUGUCCCCAAAGCCUUAAAUGGGUUUCUUGCUAUUGAUCCAGUAAUUUUAUUACAAAUACUCAAUUGAAAAAAAUAUGAAAUAUAUGAGAAAGUUCAUUACUAUUGUAUUUAUAAAUUAAUAAAAAGUUUAGACAGGAGAAUUCUAUCUUGUUAGGAAUAAGAAUCUUACAUUUCAUUUAUUAGAUACAAGAUUUGUGCACAUUCUUAAUGCCAUCUAAUUGUCAUCUGGAAAUAAUAAUCCCAACGGUGAGUUACUGGAAUAAACACAAAAAAAUACUGCAUGUAAAAAUCUUAGUAUUUUGCCUAGGGCAGAAUAUGAUGUUAGAGAUUAUUAUUAUUGACAGUGUUACUAUAAUUGCAUGUGCAUAUUAGUUAGGGUUUGCUGAGUUGCAUUAACAAACAGAUUGUCAAAAUUCUGUGGUUUAGAAAACUGAUUUUAUUUUUUUCUCUCAUGUAAUACAGGUGGAGGUUCUACUGCAGUAGCAGUUCUUUUUUGUUGUUGUUGUUGCUGCUGUUGUUGUUGUUGUUUAGAUAGAGUCUGGCACGAUCUUGGCUCCCUAUAACCUCCACCUGCUGAGCUCAAGUGAUUCUCCUGCCUCAGCCUCCCAAGUAGCUGGGACUACAGGCGUGUGCCACCACGCCCUGCUAAUUUUUGUGUUUUUAGUAGAGAUGGGGCUUCACCAUGUUGGCCAGAUGGUCUCGAUCUCUUGACCUCAUGAUCUGCCCGCCUUGGCCUCCCAAAGUGCUGGGAUUACAGGCGUGAGCCACCGCGCCUGGCCAGUAGCAGUUCUUUCUAUGCAGUUACUGCUGGUUCAGGCUGACAGAAGCUCUGCCAUCUUUAACAUACAGCUUUCAAGAUUGUUGUCAUUGCUUUCAUCCUAAUCACCUGAAAGCGUGAAAAACCAUGGAGGAUCAUGAUUCAGAAAGUUUACAUUAUAUUCUACCCACAAUUCAUAGACACUCAGCAGUAUACCUCAUUCACCCUAGCUCUUUGUCCAGGGGGAAAAAUCGAGUGAAUUAAUUUAGUGACUGAAUAAUGGUCUUU
rnacentral:lncRNA from 10 species